CCUUACAAAAGUUAUCAAAUCCCAUGCUACAAACUCUAGACCAUUAUCAAUUCUCAGAGUUUUGAAGAAAUUAACUUCUUUAUCUUUUGAGUUGUUCUGUCGAAUUGGUAGCUCAAGAUUUUUUAACUUUUUAUCCAAUUAGUUUUCCACAAUUUUAAGUCAAGUCUGAAAUUUAUGAAAAGUUUCAGAUUUAGCCUUUAAAGGGUGAACCCAUACUUUGCUAGAGUAAAUCAUCUACUUCGGACCAAAAGUACUUCCACCAAAGGUGGGUUACUUUUCAGACCUCCACAAAUUUGCAUGGACAUAAUCUAAACGUCUAUUAGUUGUAUGUGAACCCAUCUCAAAACUCACCUUGUGAGACUUUCCCAACAAACAAGUCUCACAAAAUUUUAAACGUUCGAUAAGACUUUUAUCGAGUAACUUUUGAUCACUUAGAUUUUUUAAACAUUCAUUUCCUAUAUGCCCCAUUCUUUUGUGCCAUUUUUCAGAUUUAUCAUCAGUAACAUUGAGAAGAUUAACUUCUUGUGAAGCAAUAACAUCACCUUUUAGAUAGUAUAGCCCAUUUUUCUCAGGUUCUUUCAUUACAAUUAGGGAACCUCGCAUAACUUUUAGUGUAUUAUUUUGAGAUUUAAAGACAUGUCCU
rnacentral:lncRNA from 1 species